UGGGGGUUGGCAUUGGCCCCGGAAGCCUGCUGAUGGAGCACGUGAAGCAGGGCAUGGUCAGCAGCCCCUCCAAGCUCACUGCCCUCGGGUGGACAGUUCAGGCCUGGUGCAGAAGCGGGACUGCAGGGGACAUAAAACGGGUGUGGUGUGUGAGCAGGUCAUCAACCACCAUUGUAGAUGCCAUCCUGGAACAUGGUGCCAUAAAAAGAGAGAUCUUCAAACCCAUGGUAAAGUCUGCUGCCAAUAGACCUGUUGUGGAUUCUACAAUGGACUGAUUCUAUUAACAUGCUUGUGUCUUCUACUUCUUUCCUGACAAUGCUAGUCAUACUUCAGCUGCUACAGUAGGAAAGACCUCUGGCCCAACAAAACAAAGAGAACAUCUCUACAACUACACCCUCAAGCGUCCUUGGAUGGACUUUAUUGGACCUAGCCAGUCCGUACUUGCUUCCCUACACCUUCCUUGCGCCCAACAAGCUGUGGUGUUCAUUGUUCCGAUAUGUAAGAUGACAAACCCCCAUUUUGGAGCCCAGGCUGCCGUCGUAUGACACACUUUGUAUUUCUUAGAAAGAAAAAUAUGUCAUAGAGGGGGGAAUGUAGGGGGCAAUGAAUCUUAGCAUAUUAUUUUAGAUAAAAUAGUUUUGUUAAAAGCCUACAUAGUGCCUUGGGAAGCCUCCCAGGACAGCGUAAGAGCUAAUUCUCUAGAUCAACACUGCCCAGGAAUGUCUCCCCAAGAUAAGGGGGCGCCUAGGCCUAGAUGACCCUCCAUGACCCUGCCUGGGCAGUUCCGUCUCCUGGCCCUAGGUAAACAUUGUAACCAUAAAGGAAAUGUAUGGUUAUCUAAAGGGGGAUAUAUAAAACAGAGUACAGAAAGUAUAUACCAUUGUUGUUGGGCUCAUGACCGGAGCCUGACCCGGUUACAUGGCACAAGGAAAACAACAUGUGGCCAGGGCUAUAACAUGCCUUUCUGUUACCAUGGAAACCAGAAAUGUAUAUAACCUGGGAACAAAGACAGGUCCACGCCCACUUCCCGGACUUGCAAGUUGGGAUGAGAGGUGACUGGUCUAAAUUUAAAACUUUGUCUGUUCUCUUUGGUCUCUUGCGGAAUACAGCCAGAAUUUUUGCCGUAACAGUAAGGAGCACCCCCAGCACCACCACCUCCGGCAAGGGUUAGUGGCAGCAGAGUCUCAAAGAGCUUGUUCCACUACCCUUGCGUUCAGAGCAGCCCUAAGUUGUAAAGAACUCUAAAAAAAAACCUACUGACUUGGCAGCUGUGUUUGUGCCUUUUAAAAGCGAUCACUACCACUUCUUUCUUAUUUGCUGGUAACCUAUGUUUGAUCUGAAAGCAGGCAGAACUUUGGAUAUUAACUGGAUGGGGAAAGAGCCAGUAACAAAGAAGAAUAUCAAACCUUGUUGGUAAAAUGUCGGUUAUGGUGUGGGGUGACAGGUCCCCAGAACAAGGUGCAGCAGAUGAAAAGAAAUACAAGACAGACAAAGUUAUGGGAUCAGGGGGCUACAGCCUUUAGGACUGAAGUCUCAAUUGUAACUUUUUUAGCGUUUUAUUAAGAUUUUCACAAAAAGCAGGAACAGGGGACAUGGGAGGAAUCAUUAACAGGACUAGCGAGGGCGAUAUAGCUUAAUUAUCCCAGGGACUGAACUUUGACUUAGUUGGCCACCAUGUCAUCGUUCCUUUGGACAUAUCUCAGCAAAGCAUCUGGUGCUGUCUCAGUGGCUUUUUACAGGGACUAAGGUCCUGAUUUUUUUUUAUACUAAUGUUUUUGCUAAACUUUUUCCCGAACAAAUGAUCAUAUGACUUGGUUAGGCUCAAAGUCCCAUAUAGGUAAAACAUUGAAAGGUGAACUAUAGAAUGUCUUUUUCUAAAGCCUCUGCUUUCAAGCUGCUUCUCCAUGAAAGAAAUCUCAUCAACUACAGUUACAGAGCACCGGCCACAUUUACAGAGGCUUUUGACCCACAGAAAGUUCUUGAAACCUCCCAUUAUUACACAGAAUCUCA
ensembl:lincRNA